rnacentral:rRNA from 1 species
GGACAGUGAUUAGUCCUGUAUCCAAUGAGAGAGGAAGGACACGUAACCCGUAGACACACACGGAUCCAGCGCUACGUCGAGGAAUCAACGGAUUACGUGGCUGCCUCCCUCAUGUUUGGAAGUUUAUCUGACUAAAUCAAACCGACUAACAAAUAAGAAUAAGUAACACCUUAUCCUAUCGGUAUACAUAAAUAAAACGGGAGGUAGAAAAUUAAGAUGUAUUUUCAUGUAGUAAAACAAUAAAUAAAUGAUUAUUAUGUUAGAGGUAAUGAAUAGAAGAAAAUUAUACUUUAUUUAGUGGUCGUAGUAUGGAAAUAAUUAAAAGGUAUAACAAGUCAGUAGAUAAACCUCAUUAAAAUAUUAGUUUCGUAACCUGAUAACUCGUUUAACAUUACAGUAAAAUUAGAAUAAUAAAAAGAGUUUACGAAAAUAAUUUAAAAUACGUAUCGACAACCAAUAUCACAUAUCAUGUUGGUGGAAAUCCUAAUAACCACAACCUCAUCACUGAUAUAACGCAGUGCCAAAGUAAGGGAAAAGCGAAAACUUGAACAUGGAUACGGUGUCGGACGAGGUUGGGGAGGAGACUACACCACACCACCCUCUUCCUUCUUCUCGUACGUACGAGAGACAGAUGUAGGUCGCAGGUGUGCCGAUCUAGCUGCCCAGAUUUGAUACCUAAUAACAAAUUAAACACCCAUGGUAAGAUAGAGUCUACAUCAUGUAACACACAUACUUAGUACCACUUACAGUUCGGAUGAAUCCAGUAUGGGUUCAUUCCAUUCAUAUCUACAUAUCACGAAUAUUUUACACCACGAGAUUAUAUUGAAACAAGGAGUCAAUCCUUAAUACAAAAAGAUAUCAAUUUUACGUACACACAACGAUACUACAUAUAUUCACUGUCCCUUGUUUUUUAUUACCUUCUUCCGGGAAAACAAAGAUAAAAUAUUAAUGAGUAGGUAGGACUACGAACUCGUAAAAGAUUGGAGGGGACAAAAUAAGAAAACCACGAUGAACCUACAAAGAUUCCAGAUAAAAAAACAAAAUAAAGUCUUAUGUCUUUCUUAUUCGAUGAUCGUAACACGUUCAUUUGGAUGACGCUAACGUUGACGUUUUUUUUAGUAGUGUACCACACUCGAAUUUAUUUUCCUCGAUUUGACAACACAGUACAAGUCUUAACUAUGAUCUUUUUUAUUAGAUUUGACGUGUAAGACUUUGAUAGAUCUGAGGACGGAAACCCCUUAAUCCAACGAUUCGUAAUGAAACAUUUAUUUACUGUACGAUUGAACAACCAAGUCAAAUCUCGAUAUCCGUCCCCGAACGUCAUCCCCCCUAUAGUAACACCGUCAACUUUUGGUUUCGUAAAUAAGUACUCACAUACUAGACCUGAAGUGAAAAGACUUUCAUACAAUGCUAGGACGAGAACCUUAUUUACCGUACGAUUUUGCAACCAACAACACCACGUAACGUUCCAUGUUGGAAUCAAAAUUUGUAAAACGUAUGAUUGUCUAUACAUAACCUUAAAAUUAAACGUAGAGACGUCGCUGAACUGUUAAGAAGCAGAAAUUGCUGUGCCUAGGCGCCGUGUCAUCCUCUCCACUGCGGCCGGCCGUCGCGGAGUGGCGGUCGAUAACAAACCGCGGCCGUUCCUCUUCCCGCGAAUCCUAGACGACGCAACACGUACCGACAACUUCAAGUCGUAGCGGUACUACACAUAACAAAGAGAUAAAAGGAGUAUAACGGUACAAGGGUUAAAAUGUUUGACGAUACACUACGUGUUACCGGUGCGGUGCGUGACCACUCUAAGUUCCACGUCAGCUCGUUCUCAGUCAAGCUCCACUCCACAGAGUGCAGCUAGAGGACGACGAGUGGUCGCUCCGAGCGACUGCUCGCCGGUCUAGGUGUGCUCCACCUAUAGUGUGUGUGCCGGGAGAGGGGAGGUAGGAAAGAGAAAGGAUGUUGAUAAUACAGAAACAUGGAACAAUAUAACGAGAAAGUAGGUACCACUAUUUCUACAAUUGAGUCAAACUAUUACCUCAGUGUCUAAACAUAGACUAUUAAGAACCUUAAGUUUAACAUUGUAGGUAUGAUUAAACAACCAAACAGAGUUGGUUAUUAAGUUACAUUUGGAUAAUUGUACUUAAAAUACCCAUAUGUAACAGAGGAGGAUACGGUU